rnacentral:rRNA from 1 species
AACGGGGGGGGCAAGUGUUCUUCGGAAUCACUGGGCGUAAAGGGCGUGUAGGCGGGACGGUAAGUCGGGCGUGAAAUCCCUAGGCUCAACCUAGGAACUGCACUCGAAACUACCAUUCUUGAGUGUCGGAGAGGAAAGCGGAAUUCCUGGUGUAGAGGUGAAAUUCGUAGAUAUCAGGAGGAACACCAGUGGCGAAGGCGGCUUUCUGGACGAUAACUGACGCUGAGACGCGAAAGCGUGGGGAGCAAACAGG